rnacentral:lncRNA from 1 species
AUUGGUAAAUUAAGUAAAUUGGGUUUCUAUUGAAAAAUAAUUAAUAAUUUUAUGUAUUUUUUAAAAUUCAAGUGAGCAGUGAAGAUUCAGAAGAUUCUGAUUUUCAGGAAUCAGGAGUUAGUGAAGAAGUUAGUGAAUCUGAAGAUGAACAGCGGCCCAGAACAAGGUCUGCAAAGAAAGCAGAGUUGGAAGAAAAUCAGCGGAGCUAUAAACAGAAAAAGAAAAGGCGACGUAUUAAGGUUCAAGAAGAUUCAUCCAGUGAAAACAAGGUAAUAAUGACAUUUACUACGUGCUUGAAUUAUAACUGGUACAGUAGACUAUGGUAAUCAUGCU